rnacentral:tmRNA from 1 species
GGGGAUGACCGGUUUUGACAGCGCGUAGAGGCGGUAUGUAAGCAUGCAGAGCGAUGAUGGCUAUGCUCUUUAAUCUCAGACAUCAACAAUUUAACUGGCGAAAAUAACUACGCUCUCGCUGCCUAACCGAAGUACAGUAAGUUAGCUUUAUUUCCGUCACAGUGGCGGAAACGAGACAUCACCCGAUUGCCCUGCUUCGAGACGUUUCGACAAGGUGGUGCUAAUCAAAUCGAAGAUAGUGGCGCUUGUUCUCCGGAAGCGUUGCGAAAUUUUAGGAGAUAAGUUGCAAGUUGGUGGUUUUGAGCCUGCUUGCUUCCGACAACCAAGUCAAAACUAAGCAUGUAGAAAGCGUAUUGUUUCCGUGUUUGGACGAGAGUUCGAAUCUCUCCAUCUCCACCG